rnacentral:rRNA from 1 species
UGGGAGCUUGCUCCCUGAUGUUAGCGGCGGACGGGUGAGUAACACGUGGGUAACCUGCCUGUAAGACUGGGAUAACUCCGGGAAACCGGGGCUAAUACCGGAUGGUUGUUUGAACCGCAUGGUUCAGACAUAAAAGGUGGCUUCGGCUACCACUUACAGAUGGACCCGCGGCGCAUUAGCUAGUUGGUGAGGUAACGGCUCACCAAGGCAACGAUGCGUAGCCGACCUGAGAGGGUGAUCGGCCACACUGGGACUGAGACACGGCCCAGACUCCUACGGGAGGCAGCAGUAGGGAAUCUUCCGCAAUGGACGAAAGUCUGACGGAGCAACGCCGCGUGAGUGAUGAAGGUUUUCGGAUCGUAAAGCUCUGUUGUUAGGGAAGAACAAGUGCCGUUCAAAUAGGGCGGCACCUUGACGGUACCUAACCAGAAAGCCACGGCUAACUACGUGCCAGCAGCCGCGGUAAUACGUAGGUGGCAAGCGUUGUCCGGAAUUAUUGGGCGUAAAGGGCUCGCAGGCGGUUUCUUAAGUCUGAUGUGAAAGCCCCCGGCUCAACCGGGGAGGGUCAUUGGAAACUGGGGAACUUGAGUGCAGAAGAGGAGAGUGGAAUUCCACGUGUAGCGGUGAAAUGCGUAGAGAUGUGGAGGAACACCAGUGGCG